GAUGAACGCUGGCGGCGUGCUUAACACAUGCAAGUCGAACGAAACACCUUAUUUGAUUUUCUUCGGAACUGAAGAUUUGGUGAUUGAGUGGCGGACGGGUGAGUAACGCGUGGGUAACCUACCUUGUACAGGGGGAUAACAGUCAGAAAUGACUGCUAAUACCGCAUAAGACCACGGCACCGCAUGGUGCAGGGGUAAAAACUCCGGUGGUACAAGAUGGACCCGCGUCUGAUUAGCUGGUUGGUGAGGUAACGGCUCACCAAGGCGACGAUCAGUAGCCGGCUUGAGAGAGUGAACGGCCACAUUGGGACUGAGACACGGCCCAAACUCCUACGGGAGGCAGCAGUGGGGAAUAUUGCACAAUGGGGGAAACCCUGAUGCAGCGACGCCGCGUGAGUGAAGAAGUAUCUCGGUAUGUAAAGCUCUAUCAGCAGGGAAGAAAAUGACGGUACCUGACUAAGAAGC
rnacentral:rRNA from 1 species